UAGAGAAUCCCUUGGUAUGGUAUUUUGCCCAGCGUCAACUGUCAACUUGACAUAGUCAAGAGCCAAUUGCUAAGAGAGUCUCAAAUGAGUGUCCUUUUCAGCAAUCUGGAAGCUGAAAUAAGCCCUUUCCUUCUUAAAGGGGGUUUUGGUCACGAUAUUUGUGGCAGCAACUGAAUCAAACUGGAAUAUUUGGAAUCUACGCCUUUUGAUGGGACUAUAAACAUCUUUUCACAGCUUCUGAACUACAUCCCAUAAUAUACAUGACCGCAUCCAUCACAGACAGCCAAGAGGCUGCUUCUGGGAUUUUUUUCCAUCCAGUAAUAUCUCUCUGGGGCCGAGAUGUGGAGAAGUUGCCCGCCCCUCUCUUCCCUUCCUCCAACAACAGAGUCCCAUUGAGCUUUGUCCUUACCCACCCCACCCAGAAGAGAAACCAAGUUCCCCACCUAAGGACUGCGGAAUCCAGACACACCAAAGUGACACAAAUACAAUACCCAGACUUCACUGUGUGAUGUGUAGGAGAAACUUAAUAAAUGUAGCUCUGACCUCUCAUGCUCCCUUCUCCUUUUAUCUAUUACAGUAGUUUCAACCUUCCUGAUGCUGUGAACCCUUUAAUAAGUUCCUCAUGUUGUUGUGACCCCCAACAUAAAAUUAUUAUCAUUGCU
rnacentral:lncRNA from 1 species